AAGUAGCUUGCUACUGGACCUAGCGGCGGACGGGUGAGUAAUGCUUAGGAAUCUGCCUAUUAGUGGGGGACAACAUCUCGAAAGGGAUGCUAAUACCGCAUACGUCCUACGGGAGAAAGCAGGGGACCUUCGGGCCUUGCGCUAAUAGAUGAGCCUAAGUCGGAUUAGCUAGUUGGUGGGGUAAAGGCCUACCAAGGCGACGAUCUGUAGCGGGUCUGAGAGGAUGAUCCGCCACACUGGGACUGAGACACGGCCCAAGACUCCUACGGGAGGCAGCAGUGGGGAAUAUUGGACAAUGGGGGGAACCCUGAUCCAGCCAUGCCGCGUGUGUGAAGAAGGCCUUUUGGUUGUAAAGCACUUUAAGCGAGGAGGAGGCUACCGAGAUUAAUACUCUUGGAUAGUGGACGUUACUCGCAGAAUAAGCACCGGCUAACUCUGUGCCAGCAGCCGCGGUAAUACAGAGGGUGCAAGCGUUAAUCGGAUUUACUGGGCGUAAAGCGCGCGUAGGUGGCCAAUUAAGUCAAAUGUGAAAUCCCCGAGCUUAACUUGGGAAUUGCAUUCGAUACUGGUUGGCUAGAGUAUGGGAGAGGAUGGUAGAAUUCCAGGUGUAGCGGUGAAAUGCGUAGAGAUCUGGAGGAAUACCGAUGGCGAAGGCAGCCAUCUGGCCUAAUACUGACACUGAGGUGCGAAAGCAUGGGGAGCAAACAGGAUUAGAUACCCUGGUAGUCCAUGCCGUAAACGAUGUCUACUAGCCGUUGGGGCCUUUGAGGCUUUAGUGGCGCAGCUAACGCGAUAAGUAGACCGCCUGGGGAGUACGGUCGCAAGACUAAAACUCAAAUGAAUUGACGGGGGCCCGCACAAGCGGUGGAGCAUGUGGUUUAAUUCGAUGCAACGCGAAGAACCUUACCUGGUCUUGACAUAGU
rnacentral:rRNA from 1 species